UACGUAGGGGGCAAGCGUUGUCCGGAAUCAUUGGGCGUAAAGGGUGCGUAGGCGGCGCGGUAAGUCGGGUGUGAAAUCUUGGAGCUUAACUCCGAAACUGCAUUCGAUACUGCCGUGCUUGAGGACUGGAGAGGAGACUGGAAUUUACGGUGUAGCGGUGAAAUGCGUAGAUAUCGUAAGGAAGACCAGUGGCGAAGGCGGGUCUCUGGACAGUUCCUGACGCUGAGGCACGAAGGCCAGGGGAGCAAACGGG
rnacentral:rRNA from 1 species